CUGGAGCUCUCUGCAACCUGCAGCCUCCAGGAAAAAAGCUUAACCAGUCCCCUCAGGCUGGAAGCCAGGCGUGGGAGACGUUGCAGCUGCGCUGUUCCCCGGGGAUCUCCCAGGUCCACGAAGGACUAUUAUGCGGGCUUCAGACCAAGUUUUUGGUAUUGUACCAUUUUGCAUAAUGUAAUUGAGGGUGGAAUUCAGGUGUUCAAUCAAGUAAGAAGUUAUCGAAAUUAAAUGACCUCUGAACACAGCUUUAAACGCCUCCCAUAUCGUUAUUGGAUUUACUUCUGUUGUGAUAUUG